UUGAGAAGGAGACAAUGGUGAGGAGAUGUAGAAUAACACGUCUAGUAUUCAUAUAUGAAAGGCGCCUAGAUAUAGGAUCUGCACGAUAUCAUUAAUUACGAAACGAUAUUUCAGUAUUCAAAAUAAGGCGCAAAUAUAUUACUUGACAUGUUACAUAGCAGUAUAUGUUUGCUAAAGUAAAAUAGGAAUGCUACAUUCGAUCUGGUCACACCAAUUAAGAGUAAGAAUCAAAUAUGGACUAUUACAUAUUUGUUUUCAAUUUGUCAUGAUGAUAUCGUAUCAAUCAGCAAAGAAAACAUAUCUGUCAAGGGCCAUAUAUAGAAAGCUCCUCUUUUCACGUCCACCAUGUUUUGUCACGUAAUUCUUGGUGAUUGGCAAUAAUUUAUUUCAUCCGUGAUCGACAAUUCACAUUUGAUUCAGGAAUUAUGGCAAAUAACGUAUCAACGUAUUUAAGUAGCGUGCCUUUGAUGCUCAGUAUUGACACAAAACUAUAAUAAAACGAUCUCUAAUGGUAUAUUGCAUUUAUAAUUAUGGAAAUGAUAAAUCAUGGUUAACGUGUACGAACAUUUGAAAUUGUAAUCGACCUCUGGAAAAAUAUAUUGGACGUAUUAAAAAUGUGGACGUAUUAAAAAAGUUCUUGAACUUUCUCAUAUAAAACUUCUUAAAUUAGUCAUAUAAAAAUGUGAUUUUGGCAUUAAGAAAUUUCUAUUGCAUUUAUAUAUAUGUAGUCAAAAUUGUUUCAAAAAAUAAAAUAUAUAUAUAUGUGGGCUAACUAUAUAGAAAAUGCUAUAUGAUGCAUGAUAAUGAAAUAAACUAUGAAGAAUCUCUGUGUAUUCCGUAAUGAAAUAGUUGUGUAUAUUCUCAGCGAAGUUAAAGCUGCUUACGUUUAAACAAUGAAAGCGUAUGUAGUUUCCAUGUAGGUAUGCAUUUUGUUAGUCAACGUUUAAGCAUUAAAUGUUAGGGUGGUAAGGUUAUUUAUUUUGUUAGUCACGAAUCUUAUAGUAUAUCUCGUUUUUGUAAUGUAAUGAGCAAUGACAAAUAUCGUAAUUAAUCUAGUUAACUAAGGGUUCUUGCAUAUAUCAUGUGAGAGAACUUGUGGAGCUGCCACGUAAAAAAUGACAUUGUUGAACUAAACACAUGAAGUAAAU
rnacentral:lncRNA from 1 species